ensembl:lncRNA
GGCUAGAGUGGCAAAAGGAUAAGACUGAUGAGCUCACCAAAGAAAGAGACUAUCUAAAGGAGCAAUUAGCAGCAUCUCUCUCAAAGGAACCCACAAGUUCUGUCCAGGAUUCCAGUGAGGUAUUGGGCAUAUCUUCACUGUCCUCUGAUGGGUCUUUUGAUGAGAGUUCUGACUCCUCCAUGAGCACAACUGCAUCAGAUGAAGAUAGGAAGAAGAGGAAGAAGGGCAAAGCAAAAAAGCACAAGAAGUCAAAGAAACGUGACCAAAAACAAAGAAAAAGAGGUAAAGUGAUUAACUUAACAGUUUGAUUUUGCAUGUGGUGUGUUGCGUUACUACACUAUUACAUUCAAUUAAUGAUUAUGUUCUCUCAAUUGCAGUCCAGAAUCCUAAGCAAGUGGUCACCGGUAUAACAAGAUUUUGAGGCUGUUCAAAAGAGGAGGGACCAUGUCUGCUGCCUUUAAACGUCUGGGAGUGGACGGAACACAAUUGUGGCAACUGCUCCAAUUGCUGAGCUAUUCAUUGUUGCACCUGAGAGGUAUAAAGAAUUAGAAAAAAACAUGCAGGGACAGAAACUUUCAUUGUUUGCUACACAGUGUGCUGCAGCAAUCAGUGCAGAUCCAGAAACAGAGG